AGAGAAAUCGCCAUCAAAACAUUAAAAAGUACGGGUUUCAAGCUUUAAAAUGGUUUUUUAAACAUUAUUUUGCGAUUAUUUUUUGCGAAGAUACGUAAAUUUAAACUUGACUUUUUUUACACUGAUUUUAAGUGUUCCUUUACUUUUGUUGCAAAAUGUAUUUAUUUUAUUGGAAUAUAUUCUCAUAUUUAGAAACUUUAUUCAUUAAAGUUUACUGUGGGACUUUUCUAGCAAGAAACAUAAAUUGACACAGGAACUAUUCCGUCAAAGUUGUGACGCAGAAUAGCGCGAUGACGCGAUAUAAAAUAUAUUGUAUAAAAUAAUUAUAAAAGUAAUUAUUAAUUUAGUUAUUAGAGAUUAAAAAAUGUAACUAAGUUAAGUUACAGUUACUGAAAAAAAAACUCUAACUGUAACUUCGUUAUAAGUAAUGAGUUACUUUACAACCCAAAGCCAUGAAUAUAUAAACUAUAUAGAGUUUUUUUCACUUAUUUAAAUAGGUCAUGUUUUUAGCAGUAUUAAUACAGUUCAAUAUUUUCUAAAAAAUAAGGGGGUGUAGAAUACAAUACCAAUAUUGGCGUCCUUCUUCUAUUUAUCUUUUCAUCUUCAUUUACUAUUUAGAAUUCAUAAUUGUUAUCGGCAUUUGUCCUACAAAUAUGUACAAUCGGUAAUAUGAAAAUUACUUUUCCUUAAAAACCGCAGGUUAAAAUUUUGCAACAUGGCAAAUUGCAAGCGAUGUUGGAAGCAAUUUGCAACAUGGAGCAAGAAGAAAAUAAGUUUACUUGACGGAAGAACAACGCCCUUUCCGAAGAAAACUGGAUGACAAUCGUGAUAGAGAGGGCGAGCAAAGAAAAUGAGCGUCUCGUCAUCAGAAAUUAAUGCAGGGUGACACGGGGUGGCGUUGCUAUUGUCCUGGAUUCGUAGGUCGGUACCAUCAGGCAGUUCGUACAGUAACCUAAGGGAGGAAUACGAAUACGAAAAAAUUCAGAUGUGAAAUUUUCAUUUCCGCCGCGGCCCACCAGCUCGGAAGAAAUACUUCCUGGACGGGGUACUGACGAUGUCCGACGUCGUCCUGUGUGUCCCACCGUUUGCGGCGGUAUCCGGUGAAAACUUCGACUUGGGUAACUCGAUGUAGCGGUUCGGUGCACCGUACCAGCGGAUCACCGGAAGCUUUUAUUGUUUUACAAGUUUACUGCGAUUGUCCCGGAAUCGGUCGGCCGCCCCACGGCCGAUUUGAUUGCCUUGAGGACGACCAUCGCAUUUUCCGUCAAGACUUUUCGCGUGGUCGCCCUCGCACUAUCCAAAGAGGAAAGGGAGGGAAUCGUACACACACGCCAAUUUGAAAGAAAUCUUAAAUUCAUCAUGAUUUUACUUCUCACACCGAUUUUAUUUCACAAAAACAUUUCUGCGAUAAAAUUAAAAACCGUUUUUAGGAAAAAUAAAACAUGUUUUUGGCAUGUUUUCAUGCAAAAGAUGUGAAGCAUGUAUCCAUCGAAUCUUAUUUCAAGACUAUUUUAAAUAAUACCUUAAGAUUUCAAUACGGCUCUGUGUUAGUUAAUAAUAUCUUAAGACGUAAGCUGAUACUUGAAUAUAAGAAUCGAUUAUGAACGUCAAUCAUAAAGAUGUUUUAUCUAUAUAAGCUAAAAAUCAAAAUUUUAAAAUUACAAGCUUGUAGGUAUAUUCCUUUUUUUCUAAACAAUCAAAAAUUUUAAUCGUAAAUAUUUUAAUAUCUAUAUUUUGUUGUUUGUUACCCCGGAAUAAAAUGAGAAGGCUAUUUUUGUGUUGGAACGUUGUAGUAAUGUUGCUGCAAACUUCUAUGUUCUAUGAAAUCCCAACAAUUUUUACACACAAAUCUUGCUAAAACCUUCGAACAGCUUCAAAAACUAUGGAAAACAAACUCAAUACUCUUCUCCUCAGUCUGGAACAGCGCAUACGCGUGUACGCUUUAUGCUCUGCAUAAAUUAUAGCGUGAUUAAAUUAGGAUGAUAUCGUGGAAACGUGACGCAAGAUGAGUAACGCGAGCGGGAGCGUCUUCCUGCCGACUCCAGGAUGUCGAGGCGGCACUCCCACGGGAGAUCGUUAACGUGUAUGUAUAUGGGGUUGACAUACAAACAGACGGGUGGUGUUGUAAUUAACCGCAAUCAUUGACGGUAAACAUACAACGGUUCGCCUCCCACGGGACGUCGUUGACCGAGGCCACCGGACGAGCACGCUCCCGUUGGCAUAAGGAGUGCACCGUAUUCGUGAUCAAUAUUUAUGACCGAAAUCCAAGGGUGAAUCCACGGCACCAUGGGCAUACAAUCGUAUCGCGUUUGUGUGCCCGCGCGGUUACGAGAACCGCGGUCAAUAUUUAUGAUUGGUAACAUCCCGAUUGAUAUGUACGGUUGUGCGCGCAUGUGCGUUCUUAAUAAGCACGUUGCGCUUGUCAGAGAGCUUAACUCUGUCAUGUAAUAAAACGUCGAGUGCAUCGGAAAAUAAUCGAGACGUUCGUAUGUACUAGAUAUCUAGUAAUAACUGUACAAUCUCUCAUAAGUAAAUAAAAUGAGGUUACUAUAUAUAUAUUUUUUUUUAAUUAAGUUUUGAGCCAGUUUUAUUUUUUUAUAAAAUACGUCUGAAACACGAGAAAUGAUAAUUCAUACGAAAGUAUACAAUGAUUUAUACUAGUGUUAUUUUAUAGUAUUUUAUUCUGUUUAACAAAUUGCAUAAUAGAUAAACUAAGAUUUAAAAAUGUUUUCAAUGCUUGCCAUUCUUUUUUUAUUAAUGGUACCUAAAACUUAAAUAAGCAAUUCUUAUUUUGCUGAGAGAUUUAAUUAUAUUUUUCAAAAUAAAUCUUUUUAAGUUUUGUCUGAAUUCCAAUUUGAUUGCAAAUUAAUUGUAGUUCAUGAAAAACUUUGGAUGAUCAAUAUAAUUUGAACAUUUUCCGUUAUUUAAUAAAUUCUUUUAAUCUGAAAUCAAUUAACGUCAUAUUUAUUGAAGAAGUUAUAACAUAUUAUAAUUGGCUUUGUGUCAAUAAUUCAAAAAUAACAAAAAGUUAAACAGACAUAAACACAAGCAAGGAGGAAAAGAAGAAGGAAAAAAAGAAUUUUCUGCCCUUUCUUUAAAUUUUGACAAAAAAAAUGAUUAAAUGAGAAUGAAUUUUAUGACGAAAAAUUAAACGCUUGCUAAUACGUGGAUCAUGCUUUAUUCCUUAAAAAA
rnacentral:lncRNA from 1 species